GUCACAACAAUUUGACAAGACUCGGUAUCGGUGGUGAAUACAAGAUCCAAGUAGGUGCUGUUUGCGUUCGGCAAAUCGCAAAUUUGCAUCAGUCCAGCUGACAGCAAACCAUCAACAAUGGCAGCUUCACUCUGAGAAGUAAUUCGAUCAGUUUGGCAGGUUGAAAUCCCCACAAACGACGACCGUAUCAUUCGGACCAGCGGCUUCAACCAUGGACUCAACAAAGACGACGAACGAAUCGUAACGACGAGUGUUAGAGCUCGGGCAAACUCCGUGCUGGCAAUUCGACGAUGGAUGGCAACAAGUGCACCACCACCAGUUAGUUUGUCACUGUUGACCGAACUUCGAUCGCAGCGGUAAACAGAAAAACAAGCUGGAAACAACAUACCAUCCUGUACGUCAGAGUCCAAGAUUUCUCACAGACGAACCAAUGGUAUCACGACCAGCCUCAUCAUGCGCGAAGGUGUAAAAAUCUCGCCCUGAACGAUAUCAUUGUUACAAAGCAACGGUCGGUCGGUUAGGAGCUGCGAGUGGCGUGGUGACACAACCGUGAAACUGAAAGGGUUCAAUUUGCGGCGGAUGAUCUCGAGCAAUUAUGCUUCCCCGAUCGACACCAACAAACUCUCGAAAAUAAAUUCCCUUCUGCCAGCUC